rnacentral:lncRNA from 1 species
UGGCCCGUUCUUUUUCUCCUAUAGCUUUUAGGCUAAAUAAUCUCUCCACUCCUAUCCGAUUAUUUAUCCUAGAAUGAACAGUAGGAACUAUUAAACCAUUGAUUCUCAAUUUUGCCCUCAUUUUUCAAGAUCUGAAAAAUCAUUGUCGAUUCCCCAUUCAUUCUUUUCAAGAUCUGAAUGUCGAAUUGUUUUUCUCGAUACUUCUAGCAUAUUUCUGCACAAUUCUUCUGUUCCAACCGGCGAUUGUUCAACCGAGAUCGGAGCUCUCAGCUAUCGCGCUCGAUUCUCUGCUCCAGGACUACGCGUUUAGGGCUUUAGUCAGGCCGAAGACCUGUUAUCGACGGGUGUAGAAAUGCGGACAGAGUAACGACGUAAAUGUGGGAACCGAGGCAAGAGUUAGACUCUUUCUCCGUAAGACAAAAUUGCCCCGCACAGUACACACGGUUCGAUGGCAAAUGUCCCCAAGAUACAACGGUUUGAAUGAGUACGAGAGCUUGUACUAGGAACUCGGACUUCCGGUGAACUACAGAAUACUCGGGACUUGAGUAUGAACUAGAAGACAGAAUGAAUGAAUUAAUUAUCUGAAUUUUCGGUGUGUCUAAUCUCAUUCUGCAGGGAAGUAUUUAUAGGAGAAGGAAGGGUGCGAUGAAGAGGUGUCUGCCAGGGGGUGGCUGUUCGAGCCAGCCAGUGGUCCGAACCAUCGCACUGGUUCGGUCAAAGGGGUGCGAGCCAACCACCCACACCUCACCAGCCUGAUCCAACCGCUGCCACGUCAGCAACCUCAUCCACCCGGAUUCCUUAUCCGCCACGCGGUGCCACGUCACCGAGCCGCAUGUUCCACGUCACUGCCACGUCACACGAGCCACCGUUUAGUUUGUCAAAACUAAAGGCUCCUCAAAGCUCCUCGCGACGACGCGAACGAGCGAAGUGCGCCUACAAAGCGCCCAUUGCGACAAGUGCGACGUGCACGUGCUCGGCCUCGGACUCGGAAGGUGCUUCGCACCUUCCGAGUAGGAAUUUGAGUUUUAGCCUUAAAAGGCUAAGUCAAAACUCACUUGGGUGCACCAUAUGGUCCACCAUAGAGAAGCACACUUGAUUGUCCCUUUAUGGUGGAGAGCACUUUAUAAAUAGCUUUCUUAAUUUUCCUUGGAUGACACUCCACAUUUCCAUUUUCAAUGGCUAUCUUUUGGCAUUUAAUUACUCAUUCAAUUCUUAAUAGAUUUGAACAAGUAAAUAUACCAAAUUAAUCUACUCAAAAUGUAGAUUCCCAAAUAUGCCAUUUAAUUCCAUUAAUUACAAAGUAAUUAUGGAUUAAUUAAGCCAUUUAUUCCAACAGACCGGCAUUGUCUACGACGGCAAUGUGCCGUCCAACUUGACCGGCAUCGUCGUGGCGGCGCUGCGGCAGCCUGCGACGGAAGGGGGCGGCGUACAGGAGUUUCGCCUCCCAGUAGGAGUCACUGCGCAGCCCUAUGUUGAGCGGCUUGUGUUAGUCUACCACAAUUUGGGCAAUUGGUCUUCAUCAUACUGUUCUCUUCCCGGC